rnacentral:rRNA from 1 species
UACAUAGGUAGCGAGCGUUAUCCGGAAUAACUGGGCGUAAAGGGAGUGUAGGUGGCGAUUUAGGUCUUAUGUGAAAGCCCAUGGCUUAACUGUGGGAUUGCAUAAGAAACCGGGUUGCUAGAGUGCGAGAGAGGCAAGUGGAAUUCCUAGUGUAGCGGUAGAAUGCGUAGAGAUUAGGAGGAACACCAGAGGCGAAGGCGACUUGCUGGCUCGCAACUGACACUGAGACUCGAAAGCGUGGGGAGCAAAC